GGUGAUAUCUGGAAGAGUUAUGAAUGGCCUUCACCAUAACUGACUGAGCUCUUCUCUACCCUGAAUACAAAAGACCCUAAUAAUUAGGCAAAAAUAUUAUCUCCCCUAUUCAGCCUGAAGACGUUACAGAGGAUAGAUCUACAACCCUCUACAACCCUUAGGCUUAAGAGUCCCCUCGUAAAAGGGAGGGGGGAAAUAUGUCAGAGGUGUUCCAAGAAGAGCAAUUCCAUCUUGAACAGGGGCUAGAUGAAAUAAGGGUGGGACCUGCUGGGCUGCUUUCCCACGAGGUUUGGCAUUCUUAGUCACAGGAUGAGAGAGGAGGUCAAUACAAGAUACGGGUCACAAAGACCCCACUGAUCCCACUGGUAAAACAGGAUGCAGUAAAGAAGCUGGCCAAAACCUGCCAAAACCAAGAUGGCAACGAAAGUGACCUCUGGUUGUCCUCACUGUUCAUUAUAUGUUAAUUAUAAUGCAUUAGCAUGCUAAAAGACACUCCCACCAGUGCCAUAACAGUUUACAAAUGCCUUGUCAGCAUCUGGAAGUUACCCUCUAUGGUCUAAAAGGAAGAGGAACCCUUAGUUCUGGGAAAUCCCCACCCCUUUCCCAGAAAACGAAUGAAUACCUCACCCCUUGUUUAGCAUAUCAUCAAGAAAUAACCAUAAAAAUAGCCACCCAGUGGCCCUCAGGGAGUAGCCAUUCUUUUGUUUCUUCUUAACAAACUUGCUUUCACUUUACUCUGUGGACUUGCCCCAAAUUCUUUCUUGCAUAAGAUCCAACAAGAACCCUCUCAGGGUCUGGAUCGGGACCCCUUUCUGAUAACACUAUCUCAGAGUAGGUAGUGUCUGAAUUGAAUCAGAGGACACUCAACUGGUGACUGCUGCUUGGUGUGUGGGGAAAUCCUCACAUACAAAUUUGGUCACAAAAGUCUUCUGUGUUGAUUGUUGUUGUUAAGUGAGAUAAUAGAACAGGCACACUGAGUGUUGUUUCCCCCCACCCUGGCAGAGUUGGUGUCACGGAAGUGAGAUUUGCUAGAAUGGCCUGGGCUGAUGGAAAGUUGUGGUUUGGGAAGAGAAAGGAUGAAAGAGUGCUGGAUUACUAUCUUCAGCUUCCUGAGGAAUCAUUACUAAGAUGGAUUGCAAGAGUAACUAGAUUUCAAGUGCUGCAGAAUGGAAGAGCAUGUUGAGGUUGAUGCAGGAUCCACAGCACACUACAGAACAAUUGCAGGCCUUUCGAGAUCCACAGCCACUAGAAGAGACUUCUCCCACUAUCUAUAUAAAGACUGGAUGGACUCUCCAAGAACAAUUGUUUUUCCUUCCGCU
rnacentral:lncRNA from 1 species